rnacentral:misc_RNA from 1 species
UGUGCAGACAUCCUUGUGGAG